UACGUAGGCAGCGAGCGUUGUUCGGAGCUACUGGGCGUAAAGGGUGUGUAGGCGGUUGUUUAAGUUUGGUGUGAAAUCUCCCGGCUCAACUGGGAGGGUGCGCCGAAUACUGAGCGACUAGAGUGCGGGAGAGGAAAGUGGAAUUCCUGGUGUAGCGGUGAAAUGCGUAGAUAUCAGGAGGAACACCGGUGGUGUAGACGGCUUUCUGGACCGUAACUGACGCUGAGACACGAAAGCGUGGGUAGCAAACAGG
rnacentral:rRNA from 1 species